rnacentral:rRNA from 1 species
GAUGAACGCUGGCGGCGUGCCUAAUACAUGCAAGUAGAACGCUGAAGGAGGAGCUUGCUCUUCUGGAUGAGUUGCGAACGGGUGAGUAACGCGUAGGUAACCUGCCUGGUAGCGGGGGAUAACUAUUGGAAACGAUAGCUAAUACCGCAUGACAACAGUUAUUGCAUGAUAACUGUUUAAAAGGGGCAACUGCUCCACUACCAGAUGGACCUGCGUUGUAUUAGCUAGUUGGUGAGGUAACGGCUCACCAAGGCGACGAUACAUAGCCGACCUGAGAGGGUGAUCGGCCACACUGGGACUGAGACACGGCCCAGACUCCUACGGGAGGCAGCAGUAGGGAAUCUUAGGCAAUGGACGGAAGUCUGACCGAGCAACGCCGCGUGAGUGAAGAAGGUUUUCGGAUCGUAAAGCUCUGUUGUAAGAGAAGAACGAGUGUGAGAGUGGAAAGUUCACACUGUGACGGUAUCUUACCAGAAAGGGACGGCUAACUACGUG